UGUGCACAGCUGAUUGCUAUUUCCGGCUUUGUGUACGAGACAAAUACGCACGGUAUUGGGCUGUAUAAUCAUGUGAGGAAGUGUCAAGUCCAGUGAAGAAAGUAACUUUCUAACAGACAAUAUUGUGAACAUUGUUAUUCCUUUAUUGUAUUCAAGCUGAGACAGACAAUUUUGUGUGAUGCAUUUGAUUUUUGUGUGGACAAUGAAAUUUCUACUUAUGUCAGUCAAAACAACUGAUUUAAAUAUUCAUAAGUUUUGACUGUGAUAUUGCUAUCUGUCAAGUUUACAUUGGUCAUGUUUAAUGAGUACAUCAAGAAUAAAUAUGUUUGAAAAGUA